UACGGGGGGAGCAAGCGUUGUUCGGAAUCACUGGGCGUAAAGGGAGUGUAGGCGGUUCGGUAAGUGGGAUGUGAAAUGCCCCGGCUCACCCGGGGACCUGCAUCCCAUACUGCUGAGCUUGAGUACAGGAGAGGGUGGGGGAAUUCCAGGUGUAGCGGUGAAAUGCGUAGAUAUCUGGAGGAACACCGGUGGCGAAGGCGCCCACCUGGCCUGCUACUGACGCUGAGGCUCGAAAGCUAGGGGAGCAAACGGG
rnacentral:rRNA from 2 species